rnacentral:tRNA from 1 species
GAGGAUGUAGCUCAGUGGUAGAGGGCUUGCCUAGCAUGCACAGAAAACUGGGUUCAAUUCCCAGUACUGCA